UACAGAGGGGGCAAGCGUUGUUCGGAAUUACUGGGCGUAAAGGGCGCGUAGGCGGCCCGCUAAGUCGAACGUGAAAUCCCUCGGCUUAACCGGGGAACUGCGUCUGAUACUGGAUGGCUUGAGAUUGGGAGAGGGAUGCGGAAUUCCAGGUGUAGCGGUGAAAUGCGUAGAUAUCUGGAGGAACACCGGUGGCGAAGGCGGCAUCCUGGACCAACACUGACGCUGAGGAGCGAAAGCCAGGGGAGCAAACGGG
rnacentral:rRNA from 1 species